rnacentral:ncRNA from 1 species
AAGCCCAGACCCGGAAAAGCCUAGCAAGCAGCCGGUACUUAGUCUUGCAUGUGAAGCCGUGAGGCCAGCAUGAAGCGUAGACAAAGGAGUGCGAGAGCCGUAAUGCGAAAGCGUGAAGCGAUUCAGCCUCGAUAGAACGACAAGUGGAAGCCGAUACUCUACCUUUGGUCGCAGGCAGUAAUGCGCAGGUCGAUAAGCGAGAACUGUGCAGGUUCCACCGGGGUCAUAGAGC